GUCGCGCCCAACGAAUGAUUGCUGACGAUAUACAGUAUACGAUAUUCAAUACAAAGCCUUAGCUCAGAAUACAAUUUAAUUACUAACAUUGCUUUUGUAAUCGUUCAUUGAAAAAACCCAUAAAAUCUACUUUAGCAAGAAAGAGCCUUAAUUGUUCAUCGGAUAAACAUAAAUGCUUGCAACCGAUUUCUUUAUAAGGUUCCACUCAAAACCUGAAUAUUAUCUUGUAAUAUUAUCUUGUAAUCAUAAGCCAUGAAGUUUACUGACCUGACACAGCGCUCGUUAAAAGAACUUGAGAAGAGAUCAACAGAAAGAAUGGCAAGAUUUGAAAGAGUACAGGGCAAAUUUGAAGAUUUACUGGAUCAAAUUGAAGAUAAUUCAAACUUCAUGAACAUUCGACUAUACAGGCUGAUCAGCGUGCAGAAGGAUCUUGCCACCAUUCAAAGGGCGGCAGAGGGAAUCAGAUUAAAAUUAAAUGGAUUAAGAGAGGAAGCACACACACCUGUUAAGCCCCUGGAGAGAGACCUAUUCUAUCCAAAAAGCUGGCUUACUAUGUAGCCAUGGUAACGGGAUGGAUGCUAAUUAAACUAAUCGAAGCUGAAGCAAUGGAUCAAUGAGUGCGCGGUGGAUAUCAUUCCAAUGCACUCGUGCUUAAAGGCAGCAAUUAUUCACAGUAUCAACGAGGACUUGAUGAUCGCUGUCAUAAUUAUGGAUGGAUGGGAUGAGGAAACAACAAAGCCACAUAUCACACCGGGAAACAAUAAAAGUAAUUUGCUCUUAUUUGGGCAAAAGAGACAUUACAUUUAAUUUCAUUUCAUUUCGUUUAUUUCCAUUCCAAUUAACAUAAACAAUUUGUUUCGUACAUUUUCAUUUACAAUUAUUUAAAGCAGAUACGAACCAAUAGCGCCAUCUCGAGUCCUAAACUACUCAUACCUGGCCAGUUUUCUGACCCAUAAUGCUAGAAUAGUCUAGUAAUAUAGACCCACUUGAAUGAUAACGUGCUGAUUAACUACUCAAUACAUUAUACCGCAAUAUAUGUUACCAAGUAGCAAAACAUUUACUUUUCCUCUCAAAACAUUUUAGUAUCUCUACACAAAUACAAUUAUUGGUCAAUUUAUUCUCUGUAGUCAGUAGUAUUAGCAGAUAUAUGAAAACGUGUAUUUUAAGACUAUGUAAUUGUAACACACAGUCAGUGAGAGACCACAAGCAGUUCACUCCCUCUUUAAAGCAAGUAUACAUCUGGUUUGGAAUGGAGGAGGCUGCUAAUUUAAUAUGUAUAAUCUCGUAAUAACGUCAGCAAAGGAGAGGAUAAUAGUAGGUUUUGGCACCGUAAAACACAGUAAAUGUAUUGAACAUGCCAAUCAAAUGACAAAGAAAAGCAGGGAGGGCUUUGUCGAAAACUGGUGAACCGGCAGUUUCGUCUCAAGUUCCAGAGCUGACAAAAAAUGGCAAAUAUUAUGUCGCUUGCCCUGAGCCCUGGAUGAAACUGCUGUUUUGAUUCAGAAAUUUUCGACAAAGACUUCUUAGUUGUUCAUUGUCAUGAAGGGCAUUUGACAAUACAUUUUCUAUGUUCUUGAAUCGGCCGUGUGUCGUGGAGCGACAUUAAAACUCCCCAAUAUCAGAAGCCGAUAUAUAUAGCUCUCCAAAAUACAGAAGUCACAUCCUACGCUUUGCAGUUUUCAAAUCUUUCAGAAUAAUAGACAUGGCAUUGUAUUUUCGCCUCGUUGUUUUAUGAAUAUCAGACUUAGGGGGUGUUGCAAGAAAAUAUUUGCGAUCAAUUGCAAAUAUUCUGUUUCAAUUUUACAACUGAUAGAUCAACGUUAGCUGUAGCAAAUCAGAUUAAACUUCUUGUUUCAAGGAGCAGAUUAACAAUCAAUCACUAAUUUGCCAUUAACUGCAAGACAUUAUGAUUGAUUUAGGGACCAAAAAUAGACUUGCAAUUGAUCGCAAGUUUCUUGCAACACCCCAUAAAUCUUUCUGUGCAAUACAAAAAAUGAUCCCCACGGAACCAACUCACUGUUCAUCAAGCCCUUUUGGGAUCCAACGAUUUGAAACAGGGGCGGAUACAGAAUUUUCCAAAAUAGGGGCACAUUUUCCCGAUGAAAAUUUGACAAGCAAAAAAAAAAAAGUUUUCACCUAAAAUUGAAGGUCAUUUCAUCCGCGGAAAAUUUGACAAGCAUUAAAAGGGCCUCACUUUCAAAGGGUGGGGGCACACUUAAGUAAAAGCGGUAUAUUUACGUUACAACUUUUGAUUAUGGCUCUCAAAGGGGGGGGGGUACGGGCCGGCUGUGCCCCCCUCCCCCUGUAUCCGCCACUGAUUUGAAAUGAAAAGACUUUUUAAAAAUGGUGAAAUAAUUAUGAGGGAACCUGAAUAAAUAAAAAAAAUGCAAAGCUUUUUCAGUCUGCAGGAUCCAUGAAAGUAUCAAGUCUUGAUCUAUAGGAGAGGACACGUACUAUAACUCGAUUUCAUAGAGAAAUGCCGAAAUAUAACAAUAACAAUUGUUUGUAUUCAAAGGGGAAAUUCACACUGAAGAAAAGUUUGUUGUAAAAAUAGCAUAAAGAUAUAAUUCAAAAAAUAUUGGUGAAGGUUUGAGGAAAAUCCAUUAAAGAUUAAGAAAGUUAUAAGAAUUUUAAAAUGUGCAUUUCUAACGUCAUUAAUGAGCAGCUGCCCCAUAAGUAUAUUUUUGUAAUAGAGUAUCGAAGUGUGACGUCAGUUGCCAUGGUGACAUGGUGUCAUGGCGGGCUGGUUCUAAAUAGAGUCGCAGCUGACGAUCGUCUGUACACAUUUGUAUGACUUGCUCGUCUGAAAAAUAGGUUGCAAGCGAUCAAAUUCCGAUAGCAAUUUCUCCUUAUAUGAGAAACACACGCUUUUAUUCGGCGGGUUCAUUUGUUUAGAACCAGGCCGCCAUGGCAUCAUGGCAACUGACGUCAUCGCUUCGGUACUCUCUAUAAAAUGCAUAAAACUGUUCAGGAACGGGAGUGAAAUGAUAUGUCUACUGAUAUAUUGAAGGUACAGUAAAAACCUUUUUUUCAAUAUUCUGAGAAAAUGACACAUUUCAUUGAUUUCUUACCAUACGAUUUGUAGUUAAGCUGCUCGCAUAUGACGUCACAAAUCAAAUAAUUGAAAUUCUAACUUUUUUUAUUCUUGAUGGACUUUUCUCAAACCUUCGGCAAUAUUUUUAUUAUUUUUUAGCUAUUUUUACGAUAGGGGUGAACUUCCCCUUUGAAAUAUUGAUGAAAACAUUAAACUUUGUUUACCACUGAUCCGGAUGACCAAGAGCCAAUAACUGUUUCGAUUUCGACAAAAUGAAGUCGCAUUAUGUUCAUGUUUUUGGUGGUGUCCGAUUCAUUUUUCAAACUACGCAGAAUAACAGUGACGUAAUGAGCAAAAACUUUUGAGAGGGGCCAGACAUGGCAUUAUGGAGCAAAAUUCUUUUAGUUUCUUUUAGUUUUCUUUCCCUUUUCUAAAUCUGUUGAAUAUAAUAGAAUAUGCAUCCCACUUUCGCGGAUUGAUUUCUUUAAAGAAAAAUCCUGUUGAUAUCAGAAAUGAUCAAAUACGCCAUCUUUCCGUUAUCAUAACUAUGUAUGAUUUUUUGUUUGGGUUUCAAAAUGAUCAUAGUUGGCAUGGUUAGUAAACCUGCAGGCAAUUUCAUUGUGUGACCAAAAAUAAAAUCGAUAGGUAUGGUUUGUGCAAUACAUCCAAAUGACAAUAAGAAUGAUACCCUUUAGAUAUAAAUUUUAUUCGUUCAUAUUCAGUAUGUAACGUAUUAGACCUAGCAUUGUAAUAAAAAUAUGUUUCG